GAUGAACGCUGGCGGCGUGCCUAAUACAUGCAAGUCGAGCGAACGGACGAGGAGCUUGCUCUUCUGAUGUUAGCGGCGGACGGGUGAGUAACACGUGGAUAACCUACCUAUAAGACUGGGAUAACUUCGGGAAACCGGAGCUAAUACCGGAUAAUAUUUUGAACCGCAUGGUUCAAUAGUGAAAGACGGUCUUGCUGUCACUUAUAGAUGGAUCCGCGCUGCAUUAGCUAGUUGGUAAGGUAACGGCUUACCAAGGCAACGAUGCAUAGCCGACCUGAGAGGGUGAUCGGCCACACUGGAACUGAGACACGGUCCAGACUCCUACGGGAGGCAGCAGUAGGGAAUCUUCCGCAAUGGGCGAAAGCCUGACGGAGCAACGCCGCGUGAGUGAUGAAGGUCUUCGGAUCGUAAAACUCUGUUAUUAGGGAAGAACAUAUGUGUAAGUAACUGUGCACAUCUUGACGGUACCUAAUCAGAAAGCCACGGCUAACUACGUG
rnacentral:rRNA from 1 species